UACGGGGGGAGCAAGCGUUGUUCGGAUUUACUGGGCGUAAAGGGCGCGUAGGCGGCUUUGUAAGUUAGAGGUGAAAGCCCGGGGCUCAACUCCGGAACUGCCUUUAAGACUGCAUCGCUUGAAUCCGGGAGAGGUGAGUGGAAUUCCGAGUGUAGAGGUGAAAUUCGUAGAUAUUCGGAAGAACACCAGUGGCGAAGGCGGCUCACUGGACCGGUAUUGACGCUGAGGUGCGAAAGCGUGGGGAGCAAACAGG
rnacentral:rRNA from 1 species